UUCCUAAUUUUUUAAAUUUUUAAUCGUACAAUUUUUUUAAUUUAAAAUUUAAUAUAUUAUUUAAAACAACACAUUAAGUUUUAUGGGAAUAAGUAUCAUAAUUUAAUUGCAAAUAAACUAAAAAUUUUUGAAAAUCACAUUCAUAGAAAAGAACGCAGAGAAGCGUUAAAAAAUAUUUUAUUUAAAUAAAAUUUUAUAUUAUUUUGGUGUAAAAGUAUACAAUGUUCAUUAAUCCUAGAACACACAUUGGGUCCCCAGAGCGAUUUCCUCUCCUUCCAUAGUGCCGCCCGAAAUCCCGGACUGGGGAAGAGAGGAAAUGUUUGUUAGUUAUGACAUAACUGUUAUGCUAUAACCUUGAAUGGUUGCCGGCGUCAGUCAUCCUUCAGCAACGAAAAUAAACAAAUAUAAACUUUUGCUUGAAGUCUCAGUGACCCCAAAGCGUGAUAACGCUACUUUUUUUAACAAAUUAAAAGUAUACAACUUUGCAGUUAAAUAGAUUAUUUUGUAAGUAUUAUCAUUAUUGUUGAGAAUUAUAAAAUUUUAUGUAUUAUUAUAAUAUAUAGAGGAGAAGGUGGUAAUAUGGCCAGUGCGGAUAAUAUGGUUAGCCAUAUUAUCUCCGUUAUUAGCUGAUAAAUUCUAAUAAUUAAUUAUGAUAUCAUUUGUUUAGUAGUCUACUGUUAUAUAAUGAUGCUAAUAUGACAAAACACAACAGUCAACAUUUGUUAUAAAACAUUUUUACUUUUAAGAAUUUCGAACAUUUUUUAAGGUACAUUUUAACAUUUAAUUACACAUACUUCUUCAUUCUUUUUAAUCUUAACUAAUUAUCACCCAAUUGUAUGUACACUUGAGUACUUUCUUAUUACUUAACUCUUUAUUCGGCUAUAUAUUUCGAAUUAUACAAAGUUAAACGAUGAUAUAGAAUGUUGUCAAUGUAGCCAUCUAAGUGUGCUAGUAAGAUUUCUUCGAGUUAACGUUCUCAAAGGCUGUUAAUUUAAUAAUGUUAAUUAAGACUGUUUAAAAGCUGUAAAUUUAAGAGUGUUAAUUUUUUAAAAUCCUUUAAAUGAAUAAGGUUUUUUAGAUUUAAAAUUAUUUUUAUUUAACUUCCAUUAAAUGUGAGUAAAAAUCACUGUUUUGAUAUAACAACUUAUUUUAUAUAAAUAUACAGGAUGUCCAAAAACAUGUAGGUCAACGCUCGUAAAAAGAUAAGGGCUCAGCCAAGAGAGCUCAGUAUCGGAGCUUCUAGGCCUGAUGAUGCAAACUGCAACGUUUGCGAAACGUUGGCGCAACGCUAUACCAGAACGCAUACAUCCGGAAGCCCUUUCUAUUGGAAGCAAAGAAAAUCGCACCUGUUUGAGUGUUCAUGAAGUCACGAGGACCCCCCAGAGCGGGUUUAUGAAAGUUUUUUUACGUGCGUGUUCUAGGGUUAACUAUACAAUUUUCUUUAUAGAUAAUAUUCUCUUAAAUAUAAUAAUAUAUUAGUAAAAAUGUAACAACGACGUUUAUUACUACAUUUAAAUCAUUAUAAACAAUAUUUUCCAAUAUUUAUGCGAGUGCGGUGAAUCUCAUGCAAGUGGACACACUCGCCUUCGGUUCCAUAUCUCGCACUUACAAGCAAUGUCGCAUACAAUAUUUUUUACUACCUGUGAAAAGGACCAUUUUCGGUGACUGAUAGCAAAAAAAAAAAUUUUUAAUUGUUUUUUUGCUUAAAUUUUGUUCGUUAUUUAUUUAAAAAAUGUCAAUAUCAAAAUUUUCUUUGUUAAUAUAUAUAUAUAUAUAAAGAAAAGUCACGUGGCAUUUUUGAAAAUUAAUCAUAAAAAAACCACUUAAGUUUUAAAUUUAAUGCUAAAUGAAAUAAUAUGAAUUACCUACAAUUAUUUACCCACAAUGUAGAUUUAACUUACUGGAAAAAUAGAAUUCGAAAAGUAAUAAAACACUGUUAUUUA